rnacentral:rRNA from 1 species
UACGUAGGGGGCAAGCGUUGUCCGGAUUUAUUGGGCGUAAAGAGCGUGUAGGCGGCCGCACAGGUCCGUUGUGAAAACUGGAGGCUUAACCUUCAGACGUCGAUGGAAACCGUGCGGCUAGAGUCCGGAAGAGGAGAAUGGAAUUCCUGGUGUAGCGGUGAAAUGCGCAGAUGUCAGGAAGAACACCCGUGGCUAAGGCGGUUCUCUAGUACGGUACUGACGCUGAGACGCGAAAGCGUGGGGAGCGAACAGG